AGCGGCGGACGGGUGAGUAAUGCCUAGGAAUCUGCCUAGUAGUGGGGGAUAACGUCCGGAAACGGGCGCUAAUACCGCAUACGUCCUACGGGAGAAAGUGGGGGAUCUUCGGACCUCACGCUAUUAGAUGAGCCUAGGUCGGAUUAGCUAGUUGGUGAGGUAAUGGCUCACCAAGGCGACGAUCCGUAACUGGUCUGAGAGGAUGAUCAGUCACACUGGAACUGAGACACGGUCCAGACUCCUACGGGAGGCAGCAGUGGGGAAUAUUGGACAAUGGGCGAAAGCCUGAUCCAGCCAUGCCGCGUGUGUGAAGAAGGUCUUCGGAUUGUAAAGCACUUUAAGUUGGGAGGAAGGGCAGUUACCUAAUACGUGAUUGUUUUGACGUUACCGACAGAAUAAGCACCGGCUAACUCUGUGCCAGCAGCCGCGGUAAUACAGAGGGUGCAAGCGUUAAUCGGAAUUACUGGGCGUAAAGCGCGCGUAGGUGGUUUGUUAAGUUGGAUGUGAAAGCCCCGGGCUCAACCUGGGAACUGCAUCCAAAACUGGCAAGCUAGAGUAUGGUAGAGGGUGGUGGAAUUUCCUGUGUAGCGGUGAAAUGCGUAGAUAUAGGAAGGAACACCAGUGGCGAAGCGACCACCUGGGACUGAUACUGACACUGAGUGCGAAAGCGUGGGGAGCAAACAGGAUUAGAUACCCUGGUAGUCCACGCCGUAAACGAUGUCAACUAGCCGUUGGGAGCCUUGAGCUCUUAGUGGCGCAGCUAACGCAUUAAGUUGACCGCCUGGGGAGUACGGCCGCAAGGUUAAACUCAAAUGAAUUUGACGGGGGCCGCACAAGCGGUG
rnacentral:rRNA from 1 species